AGAUUGAACGCUGGCGGCAUGCCUUACACAUGCAAGUCGAACGGCAGCACGGGGGCAACCCUGGUGGCGAGUGGCGAACGGGUGAGUAAUGCAUCGGAACGUGCCCAGUAGUGGGGGAUAACUAGUCGAAAGAUUAGCUAAUACCGCAUACGACCUAUGGGUGAAAGCGGGGGAUUCGCAAGGACCUCGCGCUAUCGGAGCGGCCGAUGUCUGAUUAGCUAGUUGGCGGGGUAAAAGCCCACCAAGGCUUCGAUCAGUAGCUGGUCUGAGAGGACGACCAGCCACACUGGGACUGAGACACGGCCCAGACUCCUACGGGAGGCAGCAGUGGGGAAUUUUGGACAAUGGGCGCAAGCCUGAUCCAGCCAUGCCGCGUGCGGGAAGAAGGCCUGGUGUAAACGACUUUGUCAGGAACGAAACGACGCGAGCGAAUAAUACUCGCGUUAAUAGACGGUACCUCGUACAGAAUAAAGACAACCGGCCGUAAACUAACCGUACGACACGCAA
rnacentral:rRNA from 1 species